rnacentral:rRNA from 1 species
CCCUUAGAUGUCCUGGGCCGCACGCGCGCUACACUGAUGAAGGCAGCGAGUCCACCUUGGUCGGAAGGCCCGGGUAAUCUUGUGAAACUUCAUCGUGAUGGGGAUAGAUCAUUGCAAUUAUUGUUCUUCAACGAGGAAUUCCUAGUAAGCGCAAGUCAUCAGCUUGCGUUGAUUACGUCCCUGCCCUUUGUACACACCGCCCGUCGCUCCUACCGAUUGUGUGCACAGGUGAGGACUAGGGAGCCCCGAUGUAGGGUAGUUUCUACCCCACUUUGGGACGAACUUGUCCAAAUCUUUUCACAUAGAGGAAGGAGAAGUCGUAACA